rfam:Heterocephalus glaber contig107701, whole genome shotgun sequence.
GGGGAUAUAGCUCUGUGGCAGAGUGCUUGCUUAGCACGCACCCUGCCCUAAAUUCAAUCUUUAGUAUCUCCC